UCUGAGGAGCCUGGGCUGUUCCACACAGU
rnacentral:piRNA from 1 species